GAUGAACGCUGGCGGCGUGCCUAAUACAUGCCAGUCGAGCGGCCGGACAAUAAGAUCGUUUUUCUGCUGUUAGCGAGGGACGGACGAGUAAGGAGUGGAUAGCAUACUUAUAUGACUGGGAGAAUUACGGGGAACAGGAGAUAAUAAUGGCUCAUAUGUUCUACGGGAUGGACCAAAAGUGAUUGACAGUCUUGCUGAUACUAUUAGCUGGACUCGCGUUGGAUUAGCUAGUUGGUAAGGUAACGGCUAACCAAGGCGACGAUGCAUAGCCGACCUGAGAGGGUGAUCGGCCACACUGGAACUGAGACACGGUCCAGACUCCUACGGGAGGCAGCAGUAGGGAAUAUUGCGCAAUGGGCGAAAGCCUGACCGAGCCACGCCGCGUGAGUGAAGAAGGUCUUCGGAUCGUAAAACUCUGUUAUUAGGAAAGAACAGAUGUAUGAGAAACUGUGCACAUCCUGACGGUACCUAAUGAGAAAGCCACGGCUAACUUCGU
rnacentral:rRNA from 1 species